rnacentral:rRNA from 1 species
GAUGAACGCUGGCGGCGUGCCUAAUACAUGCAAGUCGAGCGAACGGACGAGAAGCUUGCUUCUCUGAUGUUAGCGGCGGACGGGUGAGUAACACGUGGAUAACCUACCUAUAAGACUGGGAUAACUUCGGGAAACCGGAGCUAAUACCGGAUAAUAUUUUGAACCGCAUGGUUCAAAAGUGAAAGACGGUCUUGCUGUCACUUAUAGAUGGAUCCGCGCUGCAUUAGCUAGUUGGUAAGGUAACGGCUUACCAAGGCAACGAUGCAUAGCCGACCUGAGAGGGUGGUCGGCCACACUGGAACUGAGACACGGUCCAGACUCCUACGGGAGGAACAAGUAGGGAAUCUUCCGAAAUGGGGGAAGGCCUGACGGAGCAACGCGGGGGGGGUAAUAAAGGUCUUCGGAUCGAAAAACUCUUUUAUUGGGGAAAAAAAUAUGUGAAAGAAACUGUGCACAUCUUGACGGUACCUAAUAAAAAGGCCACGGCUAACUACGUG